rnacentral:misc_RNA from 1 species
GAGAGUAUUAUAACUCCCAAACCCAUGUGAACAUACCUCUUGUUGCCUCGGCGGAGAGAGGGACUACCCCGGUGUGACUACCCGGAGGCGCCUACCUAGUAGGCGCCACACGGCACUCCAGGGCGCUCCCUCCCGCCGCCGCUGGCCCACGAAACUCUGUUUUAUCCUGCAACUCUGAAUCUUAAAAAAAAAUAAGUUA